UAUUCAAGCCAGUACAAUGUCUAAACCUGUCCUUUUCAGGAAACAGGAGUCCAAUCCUUGCCUCCAUGGAGAAGACACAUUUUCUCAGCCUUGAGUGGCUGCUGCCAACUCCUGUCCUUUUGCUACACAAGACAAACAGGAGAAUCACUUCGAAGGCUGGAGGACCUGAGAUCUCUCAGCUUCUAGUACAGAUGGACAUGGACUCCUACAAAAUCCUCCCUGCAGAACUCCCUGCCCCCAAAAUUGUCCCUUUCAAUCCAGUCUUCUCACUGUGGCCAGAGGAUUAUUUCCAAAUUUUUGAAAUCUAAUCAUGCCGUUUACUUUCUGCUUAAAAACUCUUACCAAAAAAUAUAUAUUGAAAUAAUAAAUGAUGCAGACCUUGCUUCUUCUGAUCCAGGGACAGAAGAAUGUUGGGGUGAUCAUCUAGUAGUCUUCCUCUGGUUGAGGCCCAAGGAUUAGGAGUCAGGCAAAAUAAACACCAGAUCUUAGCUGAUGGAAGAUUGGUGAAAUUGUAUGAUGUACAGAGUAGGAAUUGGACACUAUGCUAUGUGGAAUAAAUGCAACCAUUCAGAGGAAGCCCAGGACAUCUAAGCCAACUGUGAGGCAGGUUCAGUCAGCUGGGCAAAUAACAGCAACUUCGGCAAGACCAUGUUCCAAUGGCCCAUCAAGGGAUGAGGCUCAGAGGAAGCCUGAAUUA
rnacentral:lncRNA from 1 species